UGGGGAAUUUUGGACAAUGGGAGAAACCCUGAUCCAGCCAUCCCGCGUGUGCGAUGAAGGCCUUCGGGUUGUAAAGCACUUUUGGCAGGAAAGAAGCGUCGCGGGUUAAUACCCCGCGAAACUGACGGUACCUGCAGAAUAAGCACCGGCUAACUACGUGCCAGCAGCCGCGGUAAUACGUAGGGUGCAAGCGUUAAUCGGAAUUACUGGGCGUAAAGCGUGCGCAGGCGGUUCGGAAAGAAAGAUGUGAAAUCCCAGAGCUUAACUUUGGAACUGCAUUUUUAACUACCGGGCUAGAGUGUGUCAGAGGGAGGUGGAAUUCCGCGUGUAGCAGUGAAAUGCGUAGAUAUGCGGAGGAACACCGAUGGCGAAGGCAGCCUCCUGGGAUAACACUGACGCUCAUGCACGAAAGCGUGGGGAGCAAACAGGAUUAGAUACCCUGGUAGUCCACGCCCUAAACGAUGUCAACUAGCUGUUGGGGCCUUCGGGCCUUGGUAGCGCAGCUAACGCGUGAAGUUGACCGCCUGGGGAGUACGGUCGCAAGAUUAAAACUCAAAUGAA
rnacentral:rRNA from 1 species